rnacentral:rRNA from 1 species
GACGAACGCUGGCGGCGUGCUUAACACAUGCAAGUCGAACGGAAAGGCCUGCUUUCCCUUGUGGAUUGCGGGUACUCGAGUGGCGAACGGGUGAGUAACACGUGAGUGAUCUGCCCCCAACUUGGGUAUAAGCCUGGGAAACUGGGUCUAAUUCCCGAUAGGACUGCAGGGUGGUGCCUGUGGUGGAAAACGAUUUUCUAGUGGUUGGGGAUGAGCUCGCGGCCUAUCAGCUUGUUGGUGGGGUAAUGGCCUACCAAGGCGGCGACGGGUAGCCGGCCUGAGAGGGUGGACGGCCACAUUGGGACUGAGAUACGGCCCAGACUCCUACGGGAGGCAGCAGUGGGGAAUAUUGCACAAUGGGCGGAAGCCUGAUGCAGCGACGCCGCGUGGGGGAUGACGGCCUUCGGGUUGUAAACCCCUUUCGACCGCGAGGAAGCCACCUGGUUGGAAGGGUGGUGACGGUAGUGGUAGAAGAAGCACCGGCUAGCUACGUG